rnacentral:rRNA from 1 species
UACGUAGGUGGCAAGCGUUUGUCCGGAUUUACUGGGCGUAAAGAGCGCGCAGGCGGUCGUGCAAGUCGCGUGUGAAAGCCCCCGGCUCAACUGGGGAGGGUCACGCGAUACUGCUCGACUCGAAGGCAGGAGAGGGAAGUGGAAUUCCCGGUGUAGUGGUGAAAUGCGUAGAUAUCGGGAGGAACACCAGUGGCGAAGGCGAACUUCCUGGCCUGUUCUUGACGCUGAGGCGCGAAAGCUAGGGUAGCAAACGGGG